rnacentral:rRNA from 1 species
UGGGGAAUAUUGCACAAUGGGCGCAAGCCUGAUGCAGCCAUGCCGCGUGUGUGAAGAAGGCCUUCGGGUUGUAAAGCACUUUCAGCGAGGAGGAAGGCGUUAAGGUUAAUAACCUUAGCGAUUGACGUUACUCGCAGAAGAAGCACCGGCUAACUCCGUGCCAGCAGCCGCGGUAAUACGGAGGGUGCAAGCGUUAAUCGGAAUUACUGGGCGUAAAGCGCACGCAGGCGGUUUGUUAAGUCAGAUGUGAAAUCCCCGAGCUUAACUUGGGAACUGCAUUUGAAACUGGCAAGCUAGAGUCUUGUAGAGGGGGGUAGAAUUCCAGGUGUAGCGGUGAAAUGCGUAGAGAUCUGGAGGAAUACCGGUGGCGAAGGCGGCCCCCUGGACAAAGACUGACGCUCAGGUGCGAAAGCGUGGGGCAGCAAACAGGAUUAGAUACCCUGGUAGUCCAGCGCUGUAAACGAUGUCGACUUUGGAG